rnacentral:rRNA from 1 species
GGUCAAGCGAAUAAGUGCAUGUGGUGGAUGCCUUGGCGAUUACAGGCGAUGAAGGACGUAGUAGCCUGCGAUAAGCCCCGGGGAGCUGGCAAACAAGCUUUGAUCCGGGGAUUUCCGAAUGGGGAAACCCAACCCGCAAGGGUUACUCUCAUCUGAAUACAUAGGGUGAGUAGAGCGAACCUGCUGAACUGAAACAUCUAAGUAGGCAGAGGAAAAGAAAUCAACCGAGAUUCCGAAAGUAGUGGCGAGCGAAAUCGGAACAGCCUGCAACUUUUAGCCAGUGAUUUAGCGGAACGGUCUGGAAAGUCCGGCCAUAGAGGGUGAUAGCCCCUUACGCGAAAAAUCGUUGGUGGAACUAGGGUUGCGACAAGUAGGGCGGGACACGUGAAAUCCUGUCUGAACAUGGGGGGACCAUCCUCCAAGGCUAAAUACUCGUAAUCGACCGAUAGUGAACCAGUACCGUGAGGGAAAGGCGAAAAGAACCCCGGAAGGGGAGUGAAAUAGAUCCUGAAACCGCAUGCAUACAAGCGGUCGGAGCUCCGCAAGGAGUGACGGCAUACCUUUUGUAUAAUGGGUCAGCGACUUACAUUCAGUGGCGAGCUUAACCGUCUAGGGAAAGCGUAGCGAAA